AAGGCUGGUUUUCCAACAUGUCCUCCAGCGUCCAGUGGCUGCGCACGCGCAACAAUCCGCCAAUUAACGCCGAAUAUUGCCGGUAGAUCAAAGGAACUUGUAGUCCGGAAAAACUUAUCAUUUUUGGAGGCAACGAGGUUUUUGGAGACGCGCACCUUGGCGCUUAAAUUUUAGGAUAAACGAAUGACUUCUUUUGCGAGCAGUGAACUUUUAUUGUCAUUCACCGUCGACAGCUUGUGGAAAAACUGCGGAUACUGAGAAAGAAACAGCGGGAGACCUGGAGCAGGAGUCCAAAUGUCGUCGAGGGACUUGUUGUUUUGAAGCCACGGUGAGGAGACGAGGCGAGGACCCAGAAGGAGAGCAACAACACGCUACUGGAGUUUUGAGGUCGAUCCUGGGAGGAGUCACGACAGCAGGAGGAAAUCUCACAGUGUGCAGUCCUCAUGCAUCCCGCUGUGACCCGUAGAACUCCCAGAGGUGCUACAGUGCCUCCAGUCGCACCCAGAGAGCGAGGGGAGACACUUUUCUCAGCUGGGUGAGGCGGUUGGAGGAUGGUGUCGUAGCGACAGCAGCAGCCCACAGCAGUGACUACACCGGUGAGCUGGACAUGUGGCAGGUGCGUCACACAGCUGAGAUUUAACCGCUGCAGUGGUCGGAAAGCUGGCUGCUGUGGUGAAUCCUUGUGGACAUGAAAAGUUUCCCACCUGAGGACAGGGCUGACAGAGUCAGCAGUCAACAUCAUUAUGAACAGUGUUUGCCUUUCGACUUCAACAACUUUAUGAAAUAACCAGAAUUGCCUUUCAGGGUGGAAAUUGUUUCCUUGUGAUUUAUUUCUCUGCAGAAAGUUGGCCAUGAUUAAUUCGGUUAAGACUGGAACUCCUCUGUUGGCGCCUUGUCCUGCAGUACGAUUUGGGAAAUUGUUGCUGUCAGAUUAUAGAAUAAAAAUAGUUUCUUCGUCAAUUGUAGUCACUGCUAAAAUUAAAUAAUAUGACCCCACUCUGGCUGACUUAGUUUGUGUCGUGUCAUCAAGAUAAAGCACGCUACAAUUCUCAUUCUCAACUGGAGAUAUGAAAGAAUAUCUGGUCAAGUUUUCCCGAGCAGGGACCUGAUUUUGAUUUAGUCUUGUCUUGUGUUUUGUAUGAAAAGUCAGUCUUUUAGUCAUUUGAUAUUCUGUUAGUUUUAGUCUUUAUUCUUAGUUUUGUCGAUAUAGACUCGAGUCUGGUUUUUGCAAUGAAAAACAAUACUUUUUAAUAAUUUUUCGCAGUCUGCCUUUAUUUGACAACCUGUAGAGAGAGAGAGAGAUUGGGGGGUAUGACAUGCAUCGAAGGUUUCCUGGCUGGGAAUCAGUCCGUCGACGUUGUGGUUAUGUGGUAUGUGCUUUCACAGUCGUGCUUUUUGAGGCAACAGCUGUUGCCUCCUUUGUUGUGUUACAGUUCUGUCACGAGGUGAGUGGAAAGGGCGCUGUUUACCUGUCCACACACACAAUGUCCACGUCACGGCUCUGCAGUAAUAAAACAGCCUCUGACUCCUCUCAGUAAAUUCAGUUGUCAUUCCC